rnacentral:rRNA from 1 species
GUCGAGAAUCUUCCGCAAUGCGCGAAAGCGUGACGGAGCGACACCGCGUGAUGGAUGAAGUCCUUCGGGGCGUAAACAUCUUUUAUAAAGGAGGAAAUUUUUGACGUUACUUUAUGAAUAAGGGGCUCCCAAUCUCGUGCCAGCAGGAGCGGUAAUACGAGAGCCUCAAGCGUUAUCCGGAAUCAUUGGGCGUAAAGGGUGCGUAGGUGGUUUGAUUAGUCUACCGUUAAAACUUCGAGCUUAACUCGAAAAGAGCGGGGGAAACGGUCAAACUAGAGUAUGUGAGAGGUGUGUGGAACUCAUGGUGUAGGGGUGAAAUCCGUUGAUAUCAUGGGGAACACCAAAAGCGAAGGCAGCACACUGGCACAUCACUGACACUGAGGCACGAAACCUAAGGUAGCGAAUGGGAUUAGAUACCCCAGUAGUCC